AGGGGUCGCCCCCUCACCCCGUCUCGGCCCUCGGGGAACGGGCAAAUAGGAGAAUCAAACUUUAUUCCCCUCUGUGACUUCUUGCGUGUGUGUGCUUGGGGAACCGGCCCCUUUGAGGUGGGUGCUGCAUUGCUUCAAGCUCCAUUCGGUUCCCUAAAGGUCCUCGGUGGUCCUUUUAGAGGGCUGGCUUGCUCAUAAGCUUGUUGGCGUGCCUGAAGAAGGAAGGUGGGCAGCAGGCAGAGGAGAUGCCAGUGUGACAAGUUGUUGGAAGGGGUGGAUUUUGUGGUUGCGUUGACCGGUUACUGCUGGGUUUCUUUGGCCGGCAUUGAAUUGGCUGGCAAUGAAAGGGGGUUUCUAUUUAAACAGGCUUGAUCCGUGUUUGUGUGUGUGAUUUCUUUUUUCAGUUGUGAGAGAUCAACUUGACAUGGAGUUGGUGACCUAACAAGUCAGCAGGUUCUCUUCCCUUGGACUUUCUAGACUCAUAUGUGUUGGUCUCUGUCCAACUUUGAGGAAAAGAGUGUAAGGUUUUAUUUCCUAGGGCUAAGUUGUAUAGUGUGGUAAUAAGAGAAUCACUACAGAGAGCCUGAUAGGAGACGCUAGCUCCCAAAUAAAUCCACCUGUCCUGUUCUGGUCACAUGGCUCUUGAAAGAAACUGAAUUGGAGGUUUUCAGAGAGCACACCCCCAGACCAAUGACAGCAUCAAACUAGGUGUCUGAAAGAGCUGUGAAAAGAACAAAUGUUCUGCAAAUGCAAGGUGGGAUUGUUAAUUAUUAGGCAUAAGUAUGGUGGGUCCUGUCCUCAUCCUUGUGAGAAUAUUGUGGUUUUUCAUGUUUGGCAAACUGACAUAUUGCUUUGCCGAAGCUUUUGGGUGCGAGCCGAGCUUUUCCACAGUUCAAUUUAGAUUUGCAUGUUCCAUAGCCUCCAGUUAUGUGUUUUGUUCUUUUAAAACAUAAGGGCACUCAAAAAUCUGAUUGCAUUCUCUUCUCCUCCAAAUUGUUUAAAGACUUCCAAGUUAUCUUUCUGUCUAUCUUAAUAAGAUACAUUCUGACUCUGCACAGUUUUUAGAGUGUUUGGGUGUGGUAUUCAUUUAGUUUCUUUUGCCUCAUAAAUUUUUCACUAUGUGAAUCUGUCAAGCUGGGAGUGUCUUCCUUGUGGGGGUACUUUACCAGAGUAUUCUGUGCUAUUCUGGGGUAGGGAAAGUGGUGUGCUGAGUUUGUAGCUGAAAGCACAAUUAAAAUGAAGUGUUAUUUCUGAAGGGCAGAAAUGUUAUCAUGGGAAUGGUGACUUGUAAAUGAAAUUAGAAUUGUAAUAUUUUGAAAAAAGUUGAACCCGAUUAUUUAAAAUAUGUAAGCCGAUUUUUUUCUUUUUCUACCAUUGCUCUGAAGCUACUCUGAAGUAUACAGCUGUCUCCAUCCGAUAUUCUCUGAUUCCUAACAGAACAUUAAAAUUGAAAGGGAUCUUAGAGACUUAUUUAACUCUUGACAUUUUCUGCCUAAAUUGAGGCCCAGAAAGGGGAGAGAUUUGGCCAAGGCUACCCAGCUAAUCCAUAGCGGAUUUGGACUCGCACCCACUCCAGAUAUUUUGACCCCAGUAUCGUGUUCUUUGUAUUUUAAAGUGUAAUUGCUCCUUCACGUCUCUCUCCUCCCUGGUAAAAUUAACUGUUGUCUGUUAGGAAAGUGCUGAUAUUUCAGAACUCUGUGAAUGGGAAUUUUGUAAGUAGAUGUUGAUUUGAGACCACAUGUAGUAGACAAAUAUGGGAACAAACAACUUGCCAGACAAAAUACAUACUCUUAUAAAGGUCCCUGAGAGACAUUAAGGUUGAAUCUUGCAAAGAGACAUCCUGAGUAUGUGCAGCAGAUGGCACUCUGCAUCGGACUGGCUCACAAGCCCAGCUUGUGCCACUUUGGUUCUGCUGUUGUAGGUAUGGUAAAUCAGAGCCAGGGGCAUAGCCAGUUACCAAAAUUAAGCCAAACUCGUUGCCACUGAGUUGAUUCCAACUCAUAGUGACCCUAUGGGGCAGAGUAGAACUGCCCCAUAAGGUUUCCAGGGAGUGGCUGGUAGAUUGGAACUGCCAACCUUUUGGUUUGCAGCCACAGCUCUUAACCGCUGCAGCACCAGGGCUCCAUAGCCGAUUACAGUACUGGUCAAUCUUUGCUGUAGGGGCGUGCUUUUUGAAAUCCGUCUUUUCCAAGUCCGGAGAAUGAGUCCAAAUCAAUGCAGUAGUUCAGUUAAUUGGUAAAUGCAGUUGUGACGUUAUAAACGUAACAGUUAAAACAUCAUUCAACUGAGUAAAUAGGAGUAAAGAGGCAGGGACUUAUUCAAUAUUUUUAGCACCAUCUAGUGUAAUUUUUCCCUUCUUGUAGGAAGAGCCUGCAUUGCUCCCCAGCUUGUGACUGUAACUAAGGCGGAUGCAGAAUGUUUGUCGAGUAGCCUUUCUGUAUGGUUAGUGAAGGUAGCUGCUAUUUCAAAGUUGAUCCUUUGGGGGGGGGCUGGCUUUCAUUGGGAGCUGUGUAAUGCCUUUGCCAAAUCAAACCAUCUUGUCUCUGACUUUGACAACCUGACUGUUGGCAUUUCCUUGUGGCCAGUGGCUAGACUGAAUUAUUAAAUCUCUUGCUUAAGUCUGUCAUUGUACUGUUACAGUUGGUGGAUGUCUUCCUACCUUUCACAUAACAGUUCUUCUGUUUUAUCUGAAAGUUUUGACAAAAGUUACAUUACCUGACAGGAGUCCUAAUUUUUUAAUUGGGUUCCUCAUGGUCUGCCCCAUCUUACUUUGCCAGGUCCAUCCAAGCUCAAAUACUCCACUGUGCUUAAGUCGGUCUCUGCCCUGUUCCCAAAUGUCCCAUACAUCCAUACUGAAUGUUUAUACAGUUUUUAUAGCUGAGUUUCAGCUUUAAUCACCCCUUAAUUGCUCUCUUAUGGAGCACUGAUGGUUCAGUGUGGAAUUUUUGCUUUCCCUGUAGGAGACCUGGGUUCAGUUCCUGGCCAGUGCCUAUCGUAUCCAGCCACUACCCGUCUGUCAGUGGAGGCUUGCCUGUUGCUAUAUAAUGCUGAACAGGUUUCCGUGGAGCUUUCAGACUAAGACGGGCCUGGUGAUCUAUUUCCAAAAACCAGUCAGUGAAAACCCUAUAGAUCACAACAGCUCAAUCCACAAUCUAUCAUGAGGAUCGUGCAAGAUCAGGCCUGGGGUCACCAGGAGUCGGGGGUGGACUCGAUGGCCAUUGACAACAACCGCUCCUCUAAUGUCUGCGGUCCAUUUCAGGUUAGAGACUGUGACAUAGGACUUCUCUUCCAAUCUCACAUCCUCACUUUGCACGUGAGGAAACAGAUUCGUGGCGACAUGUGAGUUUAUGUGUGUGAUUAACGACAGACCUGAGAUUAAAAGUCAUUUAAAUAGAAGUGAAUUUGAGAAUAAAUCCUAGUUUGAAUCUUAACUUUUGUGAUCCUUGGCUCUUAAUCCCUUUCCAUUGCUCUAUUCUGUCCUCUCUGAAUUCUGAUAGGAUUUAUUAUUUUUGGAGCAGAGAUUAUCACUGACCUGUCUUAUUCUGUAAAUGUUUCAUUUGUGGGCACCUUAUCUUCCUGAGAGGUUGGCAGUUCAGAUCUGCCAGGCACUCCUUGGAAACUCUAUGGGGCAGUUCUACUCUGUCCUAUAGGGUCGCUACGAGUCGGAAUCAACUCAACGGCAAUGGGUUUUUUAAUCUUCCUGGGGAGAUAAGGGUAAAGAUUGUGUAUCUUAUUACCUUUGUGUCUUUCAUAGACUUCAGCCCGUGCUGGGUGCCCUAGGUGACACUCAGACUAGCGUGAGUCAGUAGCACCUUUUUGUCUGUUUGCCAGUGAGAAGGUCUGCUCUUUUUCUCUUGCCCACCCUCCCCUCUUGUUUGAUUUGAUUAAUAGCCUGUUGCUUAGGUUGCUACAUUUGGCUAAUUACUUUAAGCUUGGUAUUGCCAGUGCUGUCUUUGGCGGUAUAUUACUUACCCUUCUUUAUGGUGGAUUGGUACCACUCUAGUUCUACAGAAGUCACUAGUAUUCUACCCAAAGCCAGCAAAAGUGUGAUGAUUACAAGGUUAUUAGAAAUGUAUGCUCAAAUCAGGUUCUAGAUUUGUUAUUUUCUCUUACUAUGAUAUUAAGCCAUUGAAGGUUCUGGAUAAAUAUGGCUAGAAUGGGCUUCUUUUGUUUUAAAGGAAGCAGCCAUCUAGUUGCUCAUCUUAAAAUCUUGCUUAUUUUGAAAACCCUACAAUAUUUAAAUGAGUAAACUUGGAUUUUUUCAGCAAAUCCUAAUUAGUUGAACUAGUCCCAAGAGGCUCUAUUUUAUGGUUUAUGGAACUCUUUGCUCGGAGAGGAAAUCCAAAUAAAAAAUGCAGCAUCAAGAAUGGAGUAAGUCAAAGACAGUAGAUUGAUACUGUAUCAUGUUUUGUUUUGGGGCUGCCUAAUGUUUGAGGUUAACGGCAGGGAAUGGUCACAGUCUUACUCAGUAGCACUGAAUUGAUACCGUUAUUUGAAUAGUUGUUUGGAUGUUGUUUUUAUUUCUUUUUAUAUUCUAGCCUUGCACCCGUAUAGGUUUUCUUUAAAAUUAUCGUUUGUUUUCUUGUAAUCAAGUACAUGGUUACCUUUUAAGGUUUUGGAAUAGCUGCUUGAUAUAUGGUCUCUGCCUUUGAGCCCUCUAUUUAUUUGAUUGAUUAAUACCAUACCGUGGCUCACGGAUGUAUUAGCGUUACUGGAAGAGCGUGGAACCCUGACACAGUGGUUAAGACUCGGCUGCUAACCAAAACGUUGGCAGUUCAAAUCCACCAACCGCUCCUUGGAAACCCUGUGGGGCAGUUCUGCUCUGCCCUAUAGGCUCGCUUUGAGUCAGAAUUGACUCGACGGCUUUUACAGAUUUAGAAGAACAUGUUGUUAGGUAAUCUAAAAUAGUACCCUAGCAGGUUUUUUUAGGUGUGUAUCUUCAAAAAAAAAAAAAGAUUCCUGCAAUUUAGAGCUUGAAAAGACCUCAGAUUGAGAAAACGAGAGUGCGAGGGGGCAAAACGGCUGUUUCCUUAGCAGUCCCACAAGUUAAUACAGAUUUCCUGUAUUAAUUUUAAUAAGUUUAGUGAAUUAUUGGCUCAUAAACUGUGUACUGGCUUGAAUCUUUUAUAUCGAUAAAAAUAUAACUUGGUAAAUUACAUCACCAAUUGGGUCUAACAGCAUGCUAAAGCUGAAAUUUUUCUGAUGCAGUUCUGGAAUAAUUGGAUAAUGUGACGUGGCAUUUUGACAUUGCGCUUAAAAAUAAGCCUUUUCUCAAGUUUCUUUAAUUACAUUAAUUGUAUUUAUCAGCCCAGAAGAGUAAGGUGUUUAGUUUUUAUACCUUAUUUCUAAAGUUUUGCUUUUGCAUUUUUUUUUCUUGCUAUUUAUUGUCCAUUUUGUUGUUUGGACAGCACUUGUAAUGGUCACCAGAGAAGUGCUGUGGAGCCCGUUAGGUGCAUGAGACUGUCCAGAGGACCGGCCCGUUAGGUGCAUGGGGCUGUCCAGAGGACCGGCCCGUUAGGUGCAUGGGGCUGUCCAGAGGACCGGCCCGUUAGGUGCAUGGGGCUGUCCAGAGGACCACAGGCGUGCAGUCCCGGCCUGUACUGCCUUACAGGUUACAAGAGCUCUUGAACAUUUUUUUUUAAUUGUGCUUUAUGUGCAAGUUUACAGUUCAAGUUAGUUUCUCAUAUAAAGAUUUAUAUCCACAUUGUUAUGUGACACUAGUUGCUCUCUCCCUAAUGUGACAGCACGUUCCUCCUUUCCACCCCGGAUUUCCCGUGUCCAUUCAAUCAGCUCCUGCCCCUUUCUGCCUUCUCAUCUCGCCUCUAGACAGGAGCUGCCCAGUUAGUCUCACGUAUCUACUUGAACUGAGAAGCACACUCUUCAAAGUGUCAUUCUAUGUUUUAUGGCCCAGUCUAAUCUUUGUCUGAAGAGUUAGCUUCGGGAAUGGUUUUAGUUCUGGGUUAAGAGAGAGUCCAGGGGCCCUGUUCCUGCAGUCUGAUUCAGACCAUUAAGUCUGGCCUUUUUGCUAGAAUUUGAGUACUGCACCCCACUUGUCUCCUGCUCCGUCAAGGACUCUCUGUUUUGUUCCUUGUCAGUGUGGUCAUUGAUGGUAGCCAGGCACCAUCUAGUUCUUCUGAUCUCAGGCUGAGGUUUAUGUGGUGCUUUCUGUCUCUUGGGCUAGUAUUUUCCUUGUGUCUUUGGUGUUCUUCAUUAUCCUUUGGUCCAGGUGGGCUGGGACCAAUUGAUGCAUCUUAGAUGGCGGCUCGCUAGCUUUUAAGACUCAAGACACCACUCACUGAAGUAGGAUGCAGAACAUUUUCUUAAUAAACUUUGUUAUGCCAGUUGACCUAGUUGUCCUCUGAAACCAUGGUCCCCAGACCCCUGCCCCUGCUGCUCUGUCCCUCAAAGUGUUUGGUUGUAUUCAAGAAACUUCUUAGCUUUUGGUUUAGUCCAGUUGUGCUGACUUCCCCUGUAUUGUGUGUUGUCCUUCCCUUCGCCUAAGAUAAUUCAUGUCUACUGUCUAGUCAGUGAAUACCUCUCUCCCUCCCCACCCUCGUAACCAUCAAAGAAUGUUUUCUUCUGUUUAAACCCUGAGUUCUUACAAUAGUGGUCUUAAUGCAAUAUUUGUCCUUUUGCAACUGACUAAUUUCACUCAGCAUAAUACCUUCCAGAAUUAUCUGUGUUAUGUGAUCUUUUAUGGAUUCAUCGUUGUUCUUUCUCGUUGCAUAGUAUUCCGUUGUAUGAAUAUACCAGUCUUGAACUUUUUUUUGUCUUCUAAGAUGGGCCUCCUUUGUGCUUCUUAUGUAUCUCUAUUAAGUGGUGUUACAGGAAGUUGAAGAGUAUUAAUGUCUGCUUUAAACUUUAGUUCAGAGGAAGUUAAUGCCACAAAUAACUAGAAAGCAAAUAGGUUAGCUUAGAUUACCUAACCUCUGUAGAUAGAGCAGAUAUAGAAGAAAGUAUCUAAGAUCCAAAGGUAUCACGUUACCUCAUUCAGUUCUCACAGUGACGUUCUGAGAGGUAUCUUGGUUUUAUACAUGAGGAAAGUGAGGAUAGGACAUAGUUACUUCCUAAGUGUCAUAAACUGUCUUAGUGCUAGGGAUGCAAAGAUGGACAAAACAGAUGUUUUGGAGCUGGGAUUUAAGCCUAGGUUUGGCUGGAAUUAAGGCUGUACCAUGCUGCUGUGUUGGUGUGAGUACUCGUUCCUUUUUAUCUACUAACAUUCUCUUCUAAGAAAUUUCACCAUCCUUCCUGCUAAUUGUUGUCUUUAGGUGCUGUCGAGCAGGUUCUGACUCACAGUGACCCCACAUACAACAGAACGAAACAAUGCCUGGUCCUGCACCAUCCUCAUAAUUGUUGCUGUGUUUGAGCCCAUUGUUGCAGCCAUUGUCUGUGCAUCUUGUUGACGAUCUUCCUCUUUUUCGCUUACCCUCUACCAAGCUUGAUGUCCUUGCCAGGGUCUGAUCCCUCCUGAUAGAAUGUCCAAAUUAAGUGAGAUGAAGUCCUACCCACCGGCUUCUAAGGAACAUUCUGGCUGUACUUCUUCCAAGAGAGCAUUCUGGCUGUACUUCUUCCUGCUGAUUAUAUUUUCUACAUCUCUCUCCUCACCUUCCCCUCCAGGUAUUAGCUAAUAAGGAUCUAAGGUAUUCCCUCCUAUGGAUAAUUUGCAAUGUAGUUUGGGAUUUUAAAGUGUUUCACCCAGUAAACCUGGUAAUUAUUGAGUAUUGCUUAUAUAUCAUAGACUUUUAUAACCUCGCCUAGUGUUAUACACUGGCAGUUUAGUGGUUAAAUGCUACAGCUGCUAGCCAAGAGGUCAGCAGUUCGAAUCCACCAGGCACUCCUUGGAAACUGUAUGGCGCAGUUCGACUCUGUCCUACAGGGUCACUAUGAGUCGGAAUUGACUCAGUGGCAAUGGGUUUGGUUUUUUGGUAGUGUAGUCCACGACAAUCCUUCAGGAGACAUACAGAUGGAAAAAUGAAGAUCUAGAAAGGUUAGAUAACCUGCAGUCAUUCAGAAAAUGUUUUCUAACUUCAACUUUUUGUGAGACACUGUGCUGGCCACUCGGGAAGCCGGAUGCCCCUGUGAUGGUCCUAGAAGAGUUGAGUGUGGCCAGGAGACAUUGUACAAACAAGACUGUAAAUGGCUGUGCUUUUUUUUUUUUUUAAGACAUAGUGAGGCCACUUAGACCUACCUGAGAGAGUGAGAGAGUUGGGGGAGGCUUCACAGAAGAGGCCUCACAUGAGAUUAUACAAUGUGUGGGAGACUGGAAAAAGAUGUGGUUGACCUUCCAGGCAGCACCGAGAUCUGGCAGGAUGAGGGAAUGUAGGGAGUAAGAUGUGUUUGAGAAACAGGAAGUAGUUUGUUUGACCCGAAUAUGGGCAAAUACAGCCGGAGAUUAGGCCGGACCAAUGAUACUGACACCAAUAAUAAUAUUUAUCAAGCGUACCAUGUGCCGGACUGUCAAGCAGUUUACGUGGAAUAUCUCAAUUCUUGUGGUACCCCGUUGACCUAAGGACUGCUGUUACCCUAAUUUUACACAUAGUGAAACUGAGCUACCUCACAUUGAUCAAGUGAUUUGCCCAGGAUCACAACUGGUAAGUGACACAGCUAGUAAAUGACUUGCCCAGGUAGCACAGCUAGCAAGUGGCAUGCCUGGAAUACAAACCAGACAGCCCUGCUUUAGAUCCUGUCUCUUAACCACUGUGCUAUAUGGUAGAGAAUUAGAUCGUGAAGGGAUUUGUGAAGGAGUUGAAAAUUUAGGUCCGUGGUUUUCAAACUUUUUAACUCAGCCCACAGUGGGAAGUACAUUUGACAUGGUCACCCAGUAUGUCUCUGUGUGUGUGUGUGUGUGUGUGUGUGUGUGUGUAAGUAACUAAGGGAAAGUUUCAUGAGACAAUAUUCUUACUAUAUAUGAGGUACUCUGAUAUUUUCUAUUUUGUUAAAGAAAUACUGUUCGGGACCUGCUUUUGCAAUCGUAAACCACAGUUUGAAAAAAUACUGCUAGUCAAUGCUUGAGCCACUGAAGAAUUUCACGUAGGAGAAGCAUGUGAUAGAAUUUAUGCUUUUAGGCAGGUCACCCUGGCAGUGGUGUAAAAGCUGGGUUGGAAAGGAUGAGACCAGAGAGGCAGAGAGACCUGUAAGGGGUGUCUUGAUGGACCAGGCAAGAGUGCCUGAAGUAGGACAGUAACAUGGGGAUGGAGAAAAGGGAAUAGAGAAGAGGGAGACUUAGACUUAGGAGAAAAAGGAAUAGGAAGAGGGAAACUCAAGAUCUGUCUGACUCCAUAACUCAGGUACUGAAACUUUAUUUCUGGACCUUAGUGUUUCUUUUUAGAAUCAUGUUAAAUUAUUCUUCUUCGUUAUCUUUUCUCUGUCUUCAAUUUUGUAUUUAAAAUAUGCUGACCUGGUUUGAUUAUUUUUAUAUGAUUUUAAAAUUUAUCUAUCAAAUCACAUGCCCACCUUAUCAUGUGAUUUGAUAGAUAAAUUUUAAAAUCAUAUAAAAAUAAUCAAACCAGGUCAGCAUAUUUUAAAUACAAAAUUAAAGACAGAGAAAAGAUAACGAAGUCUCUGAAAGAGUACAUUCUGUGGGUUAUACUCAUGCAAAGUUACAUGUGGAAACUCUUAACAUUAUGUUUGUUAGAGGAGUACUUUGAAUAAUUUUCUUUGACUUUACUUUCUUUAACUUUCCAUUUUUGCAAUAUAUGAAUGGAUGAAAAGAGUCCUUUUAUGGCCUUAAUUUAUUUUGAUUCCCUUUCGGGAAAAUUGACCAAUUGUAUGAUGUUCUUGUCUUUUUGAAAAAACUAGCUACUCCUAAGCAUCCUGGUAAAAUUUUAGCAACAAUUCUUUCCAUAUCAGCAAUGUAGCUAUAUAAUAUUUUCAACUGCUUCUGCCACACGAGUUUAUUUAGAGAGAGAGACAAAAUAUAUGACUGAGAACAAAUUAUUUUACUGGAUUGCUUUAUUUAGAAAGUACACAUUCUUCGAUCUUCCAGGUUUUAUAAUAAAAAGUAUCAAUUUAUUUGAUAGCUGUGACGGUUUUAGAUACAUUACAGUAGCUGCUUUACCAGAAGAGAUUGUAUUUGCAAUAUAGUUGGUGAGCUUUUUGAAAUCUGACAGGAGCAAAGCAUUGCUGUACCAUCACAGAACUUUUUUUUUUUUUAAUUAGUUUUCUGGAAUAUAGUUAAAUGAAAAGGUGAUAAAAAGGUGUGUACGUGUGUGUUUCUUAGUCACCAAAGUAAAAGUAACUGAAGAGGAUUAGGUGCCAUGUGGUUUAAAUAAUAGAGUCAGGAUGUGGGUUCUAUUCCUCCCUCUUCCAUUAACUUGCUGUUUGACCUUGGACAAGUCACUUAACCUCUCUAGUUUUAAUGUUUCAGUCAGUUAAAUAAGAAUGCUUGAUUAGGUGAGCCUAAAGGGCUUCUUUAAUUUUAUAUAGUAUUCUACAAGUCAUUUUUAUUUUAUCUAAUUUCAUUGAGUGGUGUCUGUGAAAUCGUAAACCCAGGUGUCUUAGGCUGAGUUCUUUGGAGGAGCAAACCAGUGAAGGAAGACCAGUAAAUAUAAAUAAAUAUAUGUAUUUACUUCAAGGAAAUGGCUUACACAAUUGUGGAGGCUAGGAAGUCCCAAAUCCACGGGUCAGACUUCAGGCUGGAGUCUCCUUCUGGAUCACAUGGUUGCAGGGACAGAUGAACCCAAAAUCGGCAGGUCAGAUGGUAUCUGCUGGCUUAUGGGUCUGUAAGAGCUGGCGAAUACCAAAAUCUGCAGGUCAGACAGCAGGCUGCUGUCCCACAUCCCAAGAACCGGAGGUCAGAGGAUGACGAGUUGGAUGCAGGAUCGGGAGAGGGUGUGCUUUGCCAGCACAUCAAUAUAUAUUGGACAUAGGCUGUACCCCCAAGGAAACUCCCCUUUGAACUGGUUGGCUGCUCACAUCAGACCACAGAAUGGAGGAUCAUUGCAUAAUAUCUGCCAAACCACUGAGAAUCAUGGCCUAGUGAAGUUGACACAUAACCUUAACCAUCAUAAUGCACCCUUUGUCAGUUUGGUACCUGUACAUACCUCCUGAAACUGUAUGUAAUCUCUAAAGACAGUUAUAAAGUCAUACAAGUGCCGAACAUGAUACAACUCACAUGCGUACAACCAAAAAUGCACUAACCCUAUUUAUAUCUUAUAUUUUUAUAAGUAAUACAGUAAGAUAGAGAAGAAAACAAACAAUAUAUAUAUAUACACACACAUACAUGUGUAGCAAAACAAGGAAGAAAUACUAAAAACAAUUAUAGCCUUCAUUUCUGCAACUGGUGGGGUGGACCCAAACCUUUAUUCCUGAAGGGUCUGGGCCAUUAGUAGUCAUGUUGGAAUUGGGUUGCUGUAGUUUUCCAUUGACUUUAAUCAUAGGGCAUGGUAGUACUAAAAGAUAUCCUAAGGGAUCUCUUGUAUUCCAGACAUAUUCUUCUUUACCUCCAUUAUGUAAUAUCAGUCUGAUUCCCACUUGGUAAUCAGGAUCAGUCAGUACAGUAACUCCCUUCUUUGCCUGUUGAUCCAGAAGCAUGAGGAGCCCAAAGCAGCCAGGUGGCAUUCUUAACUUCCAGUUCAGUGGAAUCAGUGUUGUAUCUCCUGGUAGAAGCAUUCCUUCCUUUGGAACUAAGACUUCUACACUCUCAGAGCAUAGGGUCAUGGUGACAGGAAGCAAAUUAUGCAUUUGGGGCACUAGGGGUAAUAGUGAAUGGUACCAAUCCCAUUUCUACCCCCAGUUCAUUGACCCAUAAAUGCCGGCCGUGGGAGAAACAGCACCAUAUAUUGGAUGGUGGAUUAGAGCAUAUACAGCCUCCUGGAGAACAUUGUUGCAACCCUGCAAGUUAUUGCCAUCUUGCUGGCACCGUAAUUGUGUCUUUAGGAGGCCAUUUCAUCAUUCUAUCAAGUCAGCUCCAUCAGGAUAAUAGAGCACAUGGUAAGACCAGUGAAUUCCAUGAGCAUGGGCCCAUUGCGACACUUCAUUUGCUGUGAAGUGAGUUCCUUGAUCUAAGGCAAUGCUGUGUGGGAUGCCAUGACAGUGGAUAAGGCAUUCUGUAAGUCCACGGAUGGUAGUUUUGGCAGAAGCAUUGCGUGCAGAGAAGGCAAAUCCAUAUCCAGAUUAAGUGUCUAUCCCAGUAAGAACAAAACACUGUCCUUUCCAUGAUAGAAAUAGUCCAGUGUUAUCAACCUGCCACUAAGUUGCUAGCUGGUCACCUCUAGGAAUGGUGCCAUAUUGGGAAUUCAGUGUUGGUCUCUGUUGCUGGCAUAUUGGGCACUCAGCAGUGGCUGUAGCCAAGUCAGUCUUGGUGAGUGGAAGCCCUUGUUGCUGAGCCCAUGCGUAACCUCCAUCCCUGUCACCGUGGCCACUUUGUUCAUGAGCCCAUUGGACAAUGACAGUAGUGGCUGGGGGAGGAAGAUGACUGGUUUCCACAGAACGCAUCAUCCUAUCUACUUGUUAAAACCUUCCUCUGCUUUGGUGAGCAUUCACAUGAGACACAAAUAUCUUCACUUCUUUGACCCAUUUGGAGAGGUCUAUCCACACACAUCUUCCCCAUAUCUCCUUGUCACUAAUUUUCCAGUCACCUUCCUUCCAAGUCCCUGACCAUACAGUCAAACAUUGGCCACAGCCCACCAAUCAGUAUACACUUGCAUACCUGAUCAUCUCUCCUUCCAAGCAAAAUGAACAGCCAAGUGCUGUGCUCUACGUUCUGCCCAUUGGGAGGAUUUCCCUUCACCACUGUCCUUCAGGGAGGUCCCAGAGAGGGGCUGCAGUGCUGCCUCUGUCCACUUCCAUGCAGUGCCUGCAUACGUGCAGAACCACCUGUAAACCAGACACACGAGUUUUCCCUUACUCGGUCAACUGAUCAUAAGGAACUUCCUAUGAAGCCAUAGAUGCAGACUGAGAGAAGGAAGGUAAUGUGACAGGAGUGGGGACCAUGGGCACCUGGGCCAUUUCCUCAUGUAACUUGUGCCUACAGGUCCUGCUCAAGCCUAGUCUCUUAUAUACCAUUUCCAUUUAAUAGUGCAUUGCUGCUGUGUACAUCCAGCUUUAUGACUCUGGGUCAGACAGCACCCAGUUCAUGAUGGACAGCUUAGGUUGCAUAGUGACUUGAUGGCCCAUGGUUAAGUGUUCAGUCUCUACUAAGGCCUAGUAACAAGCCAAAAGCUGUUUCUCAAAAUGAGAAUAGUUAUCUGCAGAGGAUGGCAGGGCUUUGCUCCAAAAUCCUGAGGGUCUGUGCUGUGACUCACCAAUAGGGGCUUGCUAAAGACUCCAAACAGUAUAUCUGCUACUGACACGUCAAGAACCAUUGUAUCAGGCGGAUUGCAGAGUGACUUGGACAGCAGCCUGAACCUGUUGCAGAGCCUUCUCUUGUCCUGGGUCCCACUCAAAACUAGCAGCUUUUCAAGUCACUUGAUAAAUAGGCUGAGGUAGCACACCCAAAUGAGGGAUUUGUUGCCUCUAAAAUCCAGAUAGGACCACCAGGCAUUGUGCUUCCUUUUUAGUUGUAGGAAGGGCCAGAUGUAACAACUUAUCCUUUACUUCAGAAGGAAUAUCUCCACAUUGCCCACAUCACUGGACCCCUAGAAAUUUCGCUGAGGUGGAAGGCGCCAGAAUUUUUUUGGAUUUAUUUCCUACCCUCUAGCAUACAAAUAUCUUACCAAUAAGUCUAGAGUCAUUGAUACUUCUUCUUUAGUAGGUCCAGUCAGCAUAAUGUCAUCAAUAUAGUGGGCCAGUGUGAUGUUUUGUGGAAGGGAAAGGUGAUCAAGGCCCCUGUGGACUAAAUUAUGAUAUAGGGCUGGGGAUUUAAUAUACUUCUUAGGUGGGGCAGUGAAGAUGUAUUGCUGGCCUUCCCAGCUGAAAGCAAAGUGCUUCUAGCGGUCCUUCAAAACCAGAGUUGAGAAAAAGGCAUUGGCUGGAUAAGUACCUAUAUACCAGGUAACAGGAGAUAAAUUUGCCCAAGCAGUGAAACCGUAACUGGAACAGCAGCUGGAAUUGGGGUCACCACCUGGUUAAUUUUACGAUAAUCCACCGUCAUUCACCAAAAUCCAUCUGUUGCACAGGCCAAGUAGGCGAGCUGAGUGGGGAUAUGGUGGGAAUCACUACCCCUGAAUCCUCCAAGUCCUUGAUGGUGGCACUAAUCUCUGCAGUCCCCCCAGGGAUGCGGUAAUGCUUUCGUUUGCUAUUUUCCUAGGUAGUGGACGUUCUAACGGCUUCCAUUUGUUUUUUCCUACCAUUAUAACCCUUGCUCCACAUGUCAGGGAUCCAAUGUGGGGGUUCUGCCAGUUGCUGAUUAUGUCUCUUCCAAUUAUGCAUUCUGGAACUGGGGGUAUCACUACAGGGGAUGGGUUCAGGGACCCGCUAGACGCGCUGUGAGACGGACCUGAACUAAGACUCAACAAUCUGACUUCCAUACGCCCCUACUCUGACUGGUGGGCCACAGUGAUAUUUUAGUUCUCCUAGAAUUAGUUUCAGUUCAGAGCCAGUGUCCAGUAAUUCCAGGAAAGUCUGAUUAUUUCCUUUUCCCCAAUGAACAGUUGCUCUUGUAAAAGGCUGUAGAUCCCUUUGGGGGAAGGCUGGGAGAAAGGUUAACAGUAUAAAUUUUUGGCAGUACAAUGGGUCCUUCCUCAAGGGGUCCUGGCCGCCCCGUCAUUUAUGUGGCUCAAGUCUGGAAAUUGAUUGAGGGGCCAUGACUCUCUAUUCUGACGAUUCGAGUUAGAUUGCUGUUCACUUGACCUAGAAUUCUUCCACUUGUAGAGAUCAAGUAAAUAUUUAGUAGAUUUCCCAUGUAUUUCACUGCUAGGGACAUUAUGACUUAAGUAGCCAAUACCAUAAGUCCAUACAUGUCAGACUAUUCUGGUUACUGCUUUGACUCUGCUGUCCAUUACGGUAACCAUGCCAACCUUGUUUUUGUUAAUUAAGUGCUACCACUUGGCUGCUACCACCACAGAGUCUAAUCAGCCCCAUCGUAGUUAGGUGUCUCAAUUCACUUAGGGCAGUUUCCACUGUCGAAUAUGACUUACAUAAAGUAGCAAUCAUAGCAGUCUUCAGUGAUGCUGGGUCUCCCUUCACAAAUUUGUUUCUCACUGUUGCAGUAAAAGGUGUGCUCUAUGGCCACUCCAUCGGUGGGUCUGUGGGUCCAAUCUAAUAGAUCAGCUCUAACAUGCCUGUUUCCCUAAGCCUUUGGAUACCUUCUACCGUAUAUCAGGGCAGAUCUGGCAUUUCAGUUUGAUUUAGCGUAGGCCACUGCUUCAUCCAUGCUUCAAUAAACCAAAUAAACUAACCUCUUGAGCUGAAACAUUGAAUGAAGAAUCUGUGCUAAGUGGGCCUGUAUCAAUAAACUUAGACUGAUCCAACUUUAUGUUCCUUUUACCAUUAUUUCAUACCCUUAAUAGCCAUCCCCACACAUAUUCCCCAGGUUUCUGUUUGUAUAAGAAAAAUCAAGCAAUUCUUUUGGAAUGUAGCGUACCUCCUUCUGGGUCACGCUUUGUACUUAACCUCUUGGGGCUGUCUGGGGCUUAAGUCUGGUUAUAGGUCUAGAAGCAAAAAUGUGUGGUGGGGGUGGGUCCAAGUGAUUAAGCAAAGUCUUGUAAGGCAUCUGCCUCAGACUAUGCCUCAGGCAAUGCCCCAGGUGCUAUCCAGGUGAUAUCUCAGACAAAGACUCUUCAGACACAGCUGGCUUAAUUUCAUCAGAUAUGAUGGAAGGGAUGAUGGUUUUACUGGGGAGGGUGGCUUAGCAGACAAAGAUGGAGUAAUGUCUUCAGAUGGGAGUAAGAGGACUGGUUCUGUUGGCAGGAGUGAUUUAAUGGAAUUUAGGGGUUCAGUGUCCCCAUCUUCCUGAUUAUCUGCCCACAUGCCUCCAUCCCAAGUUUUCAGGAUUGUAUUUCUUCCCAAUCAAUGCCCUCACUUUAACUUCAGGCACCCUUUGAAUUUGGGAAUUCAAUUGGUGUUGUAAUUCAGCCACCCUUAUGAUAAGACUUUGGGUUUGAUUUUCAGGAAUAUCAGCUCUUUUACUACAAGAAGUAAGGCUUCCUUUCAGGAUACAAGAGGCAACUUUCAGUUCUUUAUGUGGUUCUUGAGCUUUGACUCUAAAGCCCUGAGCUCAUCUUUUUCUUUCAACACUUUGUCUAAUGAAAGCGGGACUAACCGUCCAGCCCCUCUAUAGUUUUCAUCCUGACAAAAUUGUAGAAAAGUAUCAAAUACACAGUCACCCAGAGGCUUGUUUAUCAGAAAUAUUUGAUCCAUUCGUGAUGAUAUUUUGCCUAUUUCUAUUGCCACCUCACGCUAUGGAUUAUCAGUGCCCUCUUUACUACUGGAGGCAGGGUCAUCAGCGCCUUUAAGAAGAGCCAGACUUGAGAACCAAUUCAGAAAACUCAUCCUUAUCAUUUUGUUCCUCUAGAACCACCCUCAGUACCAAAUGUCUUAGGCUGAGUUCUCUGGAGGAACAAAACCAGUGAGUGUGUGCGCGCACACACACACACACGUAUGUAUAUAUAAAGAGAGAUUUAUUUUAAGAAGAUAGUUCAUGCAGUUUGGAGGCUGGAAAGUCGCAAAUCUGUGGGCCAGACAUUAGGCGAGAGGCUUCUCUUGACUCACGUGGUUGAAGGGGCUCAUGAACCCAAAAUUGGCAGAUCAGAGAGUAGGCUGCUGAGUCACGGGGCUGUGGGAGCUGGUGAAUCCCAAAUCUGCAGGUCACAUGGCAGGCUGUUGGCUCAAAUCCCAAGAACCAGAGGUCAGUGGUUGAUAAGUCAGAUACAGGGUCCAGAGAAGGUGAGUUUUGCUGGAUGUCUGUAUAUAUUGGAUGCAGGCCACACCCCAAGGAAAAUCCCCUUUCAACUGAUUGGCUGCUCAUAUCAAAUCACAAAAUGGAGGAUAAUUACAUAAUACCUGCCAAACCACUGAGAAUCAUGGCCUAGCCAAGUUGACACAUAACCUUAACCAUCACACCAGGCAUAAUAUAUUUAUUUAUUUUCACAAGGAUCAAAGGCUUGAAGUGAAGAAAAAUAGCCUUCCAGUUCCUUUUCAGGAAUAUCUGAUAAACAGUUGAUCAGAUGGAUGACAUCUUGAUGAACAAUUUAAUUUACCCUGCAUUCCCCUUAACAGUUCAUUAUGUCUUUAGUCCCAUCUUUUGUCCUUGGUCUUCUUUUCUCCAAUCCAAACCACUGAGGGAGAGGCAAAGACGUGAAGAAGAUGUGGUGGGGAGCAGAGAGGGCUGGGGAGGUGGAGAAGGAAAAAGCAGUUAGGGCUGGAGUGUUGAGGUGCGAUGCGGCUGCUCUAAUAAUUUAUUAAUUCUGAGUUUUGGUCGGCCAGCCUGAAACAGAAAAUAUUUCUGUUUUCCACUGUAGUCACGCUACAGGAGUCCUGAGUGUGGAAAGUGUGAAAGCCUUACCAAAUGAUUAGUUGCCAUAGUAGCCUGUUCUCCCGACUCUGCGUACUACUUCUUACUCCCUGAGCCUAGUAUAGUGUGAGGAACAUAAGCAUUCAGUCAGUAUUGGAUGCAUGAGAAUUAAUGAGGUAAAAAGUCCUAGAGACCAUUGUUUGAAUCCUUCAACCCUGUGGAUAACACAGACGUAGAUCAUCUUGUUCUCUAUGUCUAGAUGCUACAGUGAUGGGAUCAGAAAUGUCACAAAGCAGUUACUUCUCUUUGAUACAGGCAAUAGCUAAUAAUCUAAAAAGCAUUCACAGAUUGUGCUGAAACAAGCAGAACUAUAUAAAAUGCUAAGUAAAAAUUGUGAUGGAAAAAGGUGGUAGUGCUAUUAUAAGUAAUUUAAGAAAUUGACACAAUGACAUCUACCUUGGCAAGUGUUUGGUGGGAGGGGGACUGCAGAAGACAGAAAGGAACUAUUUGAAAGAGGUGCUGCCAACUCUAAUUUCCUUACUGAUAUAUAUUUCCAAAGAUGACAGAUUUUUGGAGGUGUUUAUUUUGGAACUCAUCUUCCAUAUUUCCAUUCUGCCUCCCCUGUAUCCUGUAUCUCGCGCUGCCAGAAUUCUGCUAGCUACCGUGAAGCAGAGCUAUGGCAAGAAGCCAAGUGGGAUAAAAAUCUACUUUUCAUUUCGAAGGAGAAUAUAGGUGUCAGAAUACUUUAAAGAAGUAUUUAAAGAUAGAUUGAGUGAGUAGAAGUAGUAAAAACCAAAUGAGAAGAUAGAAGGUUUUUGAUUGGCUUUUGAUGGAAUUACAUCUCUUUUGGAAACAGCAGAAUACCAACUUAGACCUGUCUCUGGCUGUUGGUUUGUCUUUUUUGCUCUUCUUUUUUUUUCCCCUGAUCUUUGAGUGCCGUUGCUAGAAGCUGCUGAAUAGCAGAAAAAUGAGUUUUCUGAUCAUGAACUGGUGGUGGUGGUUUUUUUUUUUCCAGAGGGGGCCCCAAAGGUAUACUUUGUGUGAAUGUCUGACAGUGUAUGUUUGCACGUUAAUACUUGGAUUUUGUUUCUUUACUUUUGUUCUUGUUAUAACCUAAGAGAAAUGAAAUAUUUUUUGAAUUCCAGCUCUGAUUUAAGCUUAAAAACAAACUGUCAUCUAAGCACCGCUGAGGUAGUAAAACAGAAUUGUUUUAACAUAUUACAGAAUUUUGGACUAUUCAUCUACUAAAUGGGGAGCUGAACUCUAGUCGGUGCUUUCUUUAAUUUUAAUAUCUCAUUCCGCAUUAGCGUUUGAUUCAGAAUGAAGUCAUUUCUCAGCAUGGCGAAGUGCCACAAAGCUGGAUGAGCUUAAACAUGUAAUGGUUUUCUUUUUAAUGGUUGCUGGAGCUUUUAGCAGUAAAUGGAGAAAAUGAAAGGGGAAUAGAAUAGAUUUCUUGCCUAAAAUGAGUAUUCUUGGGAAGAUGAAAAGUAGAGACAAGGUGAGGCCCUGAGUUAUAGAUCCGAAGGUCACAUCACAGCCAGCAUCAGAAAGUGGCAGCACUAGCUAGCGGAAGAAAGGGCAGCAGGUAACUGCUGAUGAGCACACUUUCAAAGGCGCUCACUUGUGAGUCCCAUUCCAUCACCAGUGGGGCUUUUCUGUUUUGUUUUUCAAACCCUUCUUAAGGAAGUUACCUUAUGUCCAGUCAAGCAUACAAGGGGAAAAGUCUUUUCUUGUUUAAAUUAUGAGUGUGUCAUGCGUAUAUAAAAACAAGUACAAUAACAUAAUGUAUGCCCUUUAGCUUGAGAAAUUAAACUAUAAUUACUGCCCCAACUACUUUUCCUUAGUCUUAUUUCUUGUCCCCUCUUCCAAAACAUUCACUUGAAUUUGGUGUUUACAAUUCUCAUGCAAGGAACCCCAGUGGCACAGUAGUUAAGCGAUCAGCUGCUGAUUGAAAGGUUGGUGGUUCGAACCCACCAGCCCCUCUGCAGGACAAAGAUGUGGCAGUCUGCUUCCAUAAAGAUUACAGCCUUCGAAACCCUAUGGAGGCAGUUCUACACUGUCCUGUAGGGUUGCUAUGAGUUGGAUUGACUUGAUGGCAAAGGGCUUGGUUUUUUUUUUUUUUAAUUCCCAUGGGUGUGUUUAUGCUUUUGCUGUGUAUGUGUAAAUAUUAUAUAGUAUUUUAGUCAUGUUUUAAAACCUUAUCUAGAAAGUAUUAUACUGUAUGUAUUCUAUAAUUUAUUCCUUUUCCUUAAUCUUUUUUUUUUUUUAAUUAAUAUGUAUGUAGUUGAUACAUGUAGUUCUGGCUUGAUUUUUAACUACUCUGUGGUUUUCAUUCUCUUCCAUAUUUUUAACGGUUCUGUUAACUACAAGUCUUUUUAGCUGAAUAUUUUCGGUGGACAGACAGAAAAGAGGAAUAACUUAUGUCACUAGGAAUGUUGUUUUGACUUUCAAAAAAGCCAGUUUCCAUUUUUGGUGUGGAAUGUCCUUGUUUAUCAUAUUCCUGGGAAAACCCUUUCUGCUUCCCCAGAGAAGGCGGAGACGAGUAAUGUUUCGUUACACAGAUGGAGGGUGUCUUGGGCAAAAUGCAGAACAGCAUCUGCUGUGAUACAGCAGGCUCCUGAAGAAUUGAGCUGUGCAGCCAAAGCUUGCUUUACUCUACCAGAAUUCUCUUAUUUUACAAGUGCAGACAAGCUGUGGUUGAAAACUUGAUGGCAUUAAUUUAUUGUUUCUUCGGAUAUAUACGUUUUGGAAUAAUUUGCAAUUUGGGGACUGUCUGCUUUAUUUAGUAAAAGGGUGCGUGUCUUGUAUGUAAAAAGACUGUUCCUGAAUUGGGCUGUGGUUUUAUGGAGCAAAGGAAAAAUAAAGUCUGGGAAUGGAGGGAGGGGUGGAGGGGAUUUCUUUUGGAGGCAGGCGGUUGAUGUGAAAUAAAUAUGUAUUUGUCAGUGUAUGUUCUUACUUUGUAGUCAUUCUUCUUAAAAGGCAAUCUCCAAUAAUUUUUUUCCUUCCCACUUUCAUUCUGUUGUCUUUCCUUUGCAGCAUCCUUGAUAACGGUUUGAGCAUUUUUGCAGAGUACGCAGUGCCAAGUUUCAUUCAGAUUGUCCCGCCAAAUGAUUUGCUAUAGUGCACUAACCAGAAAUGCUGAGGCAGCAAGGGAAACACCGAUAAAUGGGAUGCUUUCCAGGACUUUAGCUCAAAGCAAGGGAAACACAAGCCAAAAUUAAGAAGAAAAUAUUAGUUAGGCACCCAAGAUACGGUCCAGCCAGAUAUGCUAUUAACGGUCUUUCACUACUAUCCCUACAGUGGUUGGCAAGAUAUCGUUUCUACCUCACUCUCCAUGUACCAUGCCAGUGACAUCUUAGCUGCUAGAGUGUGGAGCUGGCCUGUGGGAGUCAAGUCACCUUGUAAAUUUUGCCUAUGUAAAUUAACACAUCCCCUGUUAUGUCAUAACAACCAUGUAAGGGAGAGUGUUUUCCUGCUCUGUCUUAGGUAUUGGUGAUGUGACCUGUUCACGCAGGGGAAACUUGAACAUUCUCAGGUACGUGAAGAUGAUGAUUCCUUAGCAUUUUCCCCCUGCAAAACAAAGCAGAGUUUUUAUUUCAGUGUUAACUCACGACGUGGUUUUGUAUGAUCUACCAGUUGACUUUCUUGUCCCCUUCCCUUCCCCCCAAUACUAUAGAACAGAGGUUGGCAAACUGUAGCCUGGACUGCUGCCUAUUUUUGUAAAUAAUGUUUUACUGGAACACAGACACACCUAGUCAUUUAUGUAUUGUCUGUGGUUGCUUUUGCACUAAGUGACAGAGUUUUUGCAACAGAGACUGUAUGAACCACAAAGCCUAACUCCUUACUUUCUGGCCCUUGAAGAAAAAGUUUGCCAACUCCUGCUGUAGAAGAACCAAACUUAAAGUUUUCUAGAACCACAGUUGAUUUCAGAUGGUCCUCUAAGGAGGACCUCUAAUGAGAAAGCCAAGAUCUGUGUCUUACUGCUGACUAAGAAGUAAAUAUUUGCAAUUUAUAUAGUGGUGGGAUUACUAAUACAAGGUUAAUGAAGUGAAAAGCUAUGAUGGCAGCCCAACUUAGUUAUCUUUUCUUUCACUCAUUAUAUUCUGAACUCUUUUUCAUUCUCACUCAUUAUAGGUGUUCAUUCAGUGGCAGGAUGUUAUUUUUCUUUCUAGAGUCUCUAAAGGCUUUAUAGAACAGGUAAGGAUAAAAGGUUUAAAUAGGAAAUCUGGCUCAGCCAAAGAAGUGAUGAUGAAAUGAUUUCCCGAUUCAUGGAAAGAAUAUUAGAGUUAAGAGGAACUUGCGAUCAUGGAAAUUGAGGACCAGGGAAGUUAGGGAAAUGUCCAGUGAUCACAGAGCAAAUUAGUGUUAGAGCUGAAACUAGGUCUCCUGCCACCUUGCCUGGGGUUCCUUCCACUAAGUCUCAUGCUGUCUUUGGGGUUGCUUGUUUUCCCAACUAGCUGUAAGGAACAUCUAUUUUCCAUUUUUCUCCCUGAAGUUAAAACAAAGACUUAAGCUACUAAGGUAUAAUUUAUUGGAGAGUUGAUCAUACUUGGAGUUUGGGUACUUUUAUUUUAUCGUUAGAAGAAAACUUUGGGGGUGUUGCUUCUUAAUGAAUCAUUAAGUGUGUGUACUGUAUACUGGAAUAUAAAGGGAAAUCUGAGUCUCGUUCAUAAUUUUAUAGGUAGGAACAAAACUAAAAUUGGUAUAAAUAGACUGCUUCCCUCAUGUAUCUGUGUUUAAGCCCAUAGAUGGGAAGUGUGUGUGUGUUUGUGUGUCUGUCUGUCUAAUGACUUUUAAAGUGCAUUUGGGUUACAUUCUGAAGGGAGUUUAGCAGAUGUGUUGUAGUCUGUAGAUUAUGUUGCAGUUUUAAAUGGAUUUUUUAAAAUAAGCUUUUUAUUUUAGAACAGUUUUAGAUUUACAGACAAAAUGGGGAGGGUGGUUCAGAGAGUUCUUACAUACCUUCCCUUUCCACCUCCCCUCUGGUUUCCCGAAUUAUUAACAUCUUAUGUUAUAUGGUACAUUUGUUCCAAUUAGUGAACCAAUAUCAAUACAUUAUUAUUAACCAAAGUCCAUACUUCAUUCAGAUUUUCUUAGUUUUUGCCUAAUGUCCUCUCUCUGUUCCAGGAUUAAAUGCAUUUUUAUUAACAUGUUCAUUGAUGUAGAAGGCACUCCUGUGACCACCUGAAGAUUAGAGUAAUUCUGAAGUCCCUUUCAGUUUCCAAGAGUCUGAUUAAAUGAGUAGCUAGACAGGCUUAACUGCUACAGAGUUCUGGUUUGUAACAUUUAUAUGACAAUAAGAAUGUUAUAGAAUAUAACAUUUAUAUUCUUCUGUAACAUGUUGAACAAGUCCUUACUUAACAUGUUGAACAAGUUGAUGGCACUGGCUCUUCAAUUGUUUGUUUUCAUCAAUUCCAUUAAACUCUCUGAAAGGACAAGACAGAUUUGGUUAAUUCUAACUGUUAUCAAAAGUGUCAUAUGCUAAAUUGCUGGUGAAAAUAUUCUAAAGUACAUUGCCUUCUUUGGAAAUGGAGUGGAUUAACUAUCCUAGUUCAAUAUGUUUGUCCUUCAGAAAGGAGCCAUUGAAAUCAGCACCUUCCGGUGAAUCAUUAAUCGUUCACAUUUCACUAUGCCCAUUGCCAUCGAGUCGAUUCUGACUCACAGUGACCCUACAGGACAGAGUAGAAAUGCCCUGUUGGGUUUCCAAGGCUGUCAGUCUAUAAAAGCCAACUGCCACGUCUUUCUCCUGAGGAGCAACUGGUGGGUUUGAACCACCUGUCUUUCAUUUAGCAGCUGAGCACUUUAACCACUAUGCCACCAGGGCUUCUCACAUUUUCCUAUAAAGACCUUAAAUUAUUUCUUCCUUAAAAGUUUACCAGUUAUUUACUAAAAUUGGACACAUACCUGCCCUGUGACUCAGUAGCUCCAUGCCUACAUUCAUACAUGACAGAAAUGCAUACAUAUAUUCACCAAAAGACAUGAACAGAAAUGUUCAUUGCAGGGCUAUCUGCAGUAGUCCAAACUGGAAUGAUCCAAAUGCCUGUCAAAAAUAGAAUAGGUAAAUAAGUUGUGGAAUGUCUGCACAGUGGAUAUCGAACAGCGAAGAGAGUGAAUAAAAUACAGACUACAGCAACAAAUUUCACAAAUAUAAUGUUGAGCAAAAGAAGCUAGACACUAAAGAGUGCGUACUCUAUGAUUCUACUUAACGUAAAUUUCAAAAACGCAAAAAUCAUCUGUGGUGUCAGAAGUCAGGAGAUUGGUUACCUGUGUUGGGGGUGGGGGAAAUGUCUGGAAGAGGGCGUGAAGGGGGCUUCUGGGGUGCUAAUAAUGUUCUGCUUGUUGGUUCGGGUACUGGUUAUAUGGGUGUGUUCACCUUGGGAAAAGGCAUCAAGCUUAUAUACUCUUCUGUGUGUAUGUUAUUGUGUUAUUAGCCAUUGAAAAAAGUAUGUGAAAAGUACUAGCGAUUCUGAAAAUAAAAACCAGAUACAAAAUUUCUCUGGUAACAUUUGAGGUAUAUAUGGAGAACAAGCUGAACAAAUUAGCCUCAUAUCUUAGAAUAUAUAGAAUAUCAUGGGAUGAUCAGGGAGCCAUUGUGGCACUGGUGCUGUUACAGUUUUGUUUGUGUUGUAAACUGAAUAAAAUAGGUGGUGGUAAUGCUUGCUUUUUAUUGUAACCAGGUUUUUGGGAUGCCUCAGACGAGGACAUCUUUUCCUUCAUGUUGGUAUUUAGUAGACUCUCCAAGGCACAGCCUCCACCCAUUCUUCUACAAGAAUAAAGGCUGCUAAGCUAAAGCAGUAUAGAACCAAGUAGGUGUGCCUUGGGUGUAUUGAUACGUGCUGGGACGUCCUCUUCCCCACUGAGGGGCUUUGUUAGAUCGGUGAAUGAACUUCAGUCUUGCAUCUCUGUAUAUUUUACAUUCUACUUGACUUUUAUGGCAUCACCUCAAAAUCAGAAUGUAGAAUUGUCUCCCUAAACGAAGCCCCUUUUUACUACUCAUGUUUUUCUUAUUGGAACUUUUGUCUCUCCAGUUACUUGAGUUAAAAUUAAUUUUUAAGCUCUUCCCUUUUCCUUUGCAGCCCUUUUCCACCCCUUUAUUUAGUAACUAAAUCCCUGUUGGAGUCUGCCUCUUUUGUCUCAUUCACUUGGCACUUUGUGUUCCAAUUAUCGCCACAUUUUAAAACUCUUAUUGUGUGUCUAAACUUUUGUGAUAGCUUUCCUAACUAGCGUCCUUAGCUUUCAGUGUUUUCCCUACAAUCAAUCCAUUUUCUUUCUUCCAGAUUUAUCUUUCUAAAACCUAAUUUAUCAAAUGAUUCCCUACACAAAACUUUGGCUUGACACUACCUUUAAGACUUUAUAUAGAUUCCUUAGUCAUAUUCAUUCAAGGUCUUCUAUAAUUGAGUUUUACCCUGUCUUUCCAUCUUUAAUGAUAAUGCUUUUUUUUUUUUUUACUGUUGUAAAAAAUAUAUACAUAACACAGCAUUUGCCAAUUCAACAUAUUUUACAGCUACAGCUCAGUGACACCACUUACGUUAAUUAUGUCAUGCAGUCAUCACCAGUGCCAGCUGCCAGGUUUUCUAUCACCAUAAACAGACGUUCAGUGCUUCCUAAACAAUGAAUGAUAAUUUUUUUCCUAAAUUUUAUUUACUUUGUUGUUGUUGAGAAUAUACACAGCAAAACAUACACCAAUUGAACAAUUUCUCCAUGUACAAUUUAGUGACAUUGAUUACAUUUUUCCGGUUGUGCAACCAUUCUCACUCUCUUUUUCUUAGUUAUACCUCCCGUAUUAACAUAAGUUCACUGUCCUCUAAAGCUCCUGUCUAAUCUUUCAAGUUGCUGUUGUCAAUUUGAUCCCAUGUAGGUGGUUCUUAAAGAGCAUAAUGCUCAAGGCAGACCUUUUGUUUUACUAGUUCAGCUAAACUGUAGUUUGGUUUUAAGAUGACUUCAAGGGGUAUUUUUGGUUUAAGGUUUAAAGAUUGUCUCAGGGCAAUAUCUUCAAGGGUUCAUUCACCCUCCAUGGCUCCAGGAAGUUUAGAGUCCAUGAAAAUUUGUGUCCCGUUCUAUAUUUUCCCACUUUUGAUCAGGAUACUUCUAUGGAAUCUUUGCUCAAAGUGAUUAGUAAUGGUAGCUGGACAUCAUCCAGUUCUUCUGGCCUCGUGGCAAAGGAGGCAGUUGUUUGUGGAGGCAAUUAGCCACACAUUCCAUAUCCUGCUCCUGCCCCUGAUGCUCUUCCUUCCUCUGUUGCUCCAGGUGAAUAGAGACCAGUUGUUGUGCUCUGGAUGGCCACUUGGAAGCUUUUAAGAUCCCAGGCACUAGGUAUCGAACUAGUGCAUAGAACAGAUGCACUAAAUACAUUAUUAGGCCAAUUAAUUGGGAUGUUCCGUGAAACCAUGACCCUUAACCUCCAAAUCAUGGAACCAAAUCCGUGAAGUGUUCGGUUGUACAUAAAGCAGCCUCAGCAGCUAUCUUUUUUUUUUUUUUGUCAUUGUUGUAAAUAUAUCUGUCACACAACUUUUGCCAGUUCAACUUUUUACAGGUACACAGCUUAUUGACAGCAAUUAUAAUAAUUGACUGUGCAACCCUACUCUUAAUCAAUUUCCCAUGAUCAUUAAUGCCCCUUCCCUCUGCCCUAGGUAACCGCUAAUAAACUGUGGUCUCUGUACAUUUGCCUAUCUUGUUUUUUUAUGUAAGUGAGGUUACACAACCUUUGUCCUUUUGUGAUUGGCUAAUUUUGCUCACCAUAAUGUCUUCAAGCACCAUCCAUACUGUAGCAUGUAUCAAGACUUCAUUUCUCCUGCUGGAUGAGUAGUAUUCCAUUUUAUGUAUAUGCACUGCAUUUUGUUUAUCCAUUCAUCUCUUGAUGAGCAUUUAGGUUGUUUCCACCUUUGGGCUAUUGUGAAUAGUGCUGCAGUGAACAUUCGUGUACAAGUCUGUUCUUCUUGUCUUUUGGGUACAUACCUGGAAGUAGAAUUGCUGGGUCAUACGGUGGUUUUAUUUUUAGUUUUUUUGAGGAGCUGCCACACUGUUUUCCACAACAGCUAUAUCUUUUUGCAUUCCCACCAGCAAUGGAUAAGGCUACCAGUUUUUCUACAUUCUUGCCAAUUUUUGUUAAUUUCUGUUUUUUUUAAUCUUAGCCAUCCUAGUAGGAAUGAAAUGGUAUCUCAUUGUGGUUUUGAUUUGUUUCUCUCUGAUGUCUGAUGAUGCUGCGUACCUUUUCAUGUGUCUGAUGGCCGUUCGAAUGACCUCUUUGGUGAAAUGUCUGUUCGAGACCUUUGCCCAUUUUGUUGUUGUUGUUAGGUGCCAUUGAGUCGGUCCCAACUCAUAGCUACCCUGUGCACAACAGAAUGAAACGCCGCCCGGUCCUGCGCCAUCCUUACAAUUGUUGUUAUGCUUGAGCUCGUUGUUGCAGCCACUGUGUCAGUCCACCUUGUUGAGAGUCUUCCUCUUUUCCGCUGACCCUGUACUCUGCUAAGCAUGAUGUCCUCCUCCAGGGACUGAUCGCUCCUGACAACAUGUCCAAAGUAUGUAAGACGCAGUCUCGCCAUCCUUGCUUCUAAGGAGCAUUCUGGUUGUACUUCUUCCAAGACAGAUUUGUUCGCCACGUCUGUCAGUUUGUGACGUAGAUGGAGUAAAGCUUUUGGGACCUUCCUUUGCUGAUGUGGCACGACUCAAAAUGAAAAGAAACAGCUGCAAACAACCAUUAAUAAUCGGAACCUGGAAUGUACAAAGUAUGAAUCUAAGAGAACUGGAAAUCGUCAAAAAUGAAAUGGAACGUGUAAACAUCAAUACCCUAGGCAUUAGUGAGCUGAAAUGGACUGGUAUUGGCCAUUUUGAAUAGGACAGUCAUAUAGUCUGCUAUGCUGGGAAUGACAGCUUGAAGAGGAAUGGUGUUGCAAUUCAUCGUCAAAGAGAAUAUUUCAAGACCUAUCCUGAGGUACACCGCUGUCAGUGAUAGGAUAAUAUCCAUACGCCUACAAGGAAGACCAGUUAAUAUGACUACUGUUCAAAUUUACACACCACCCACAAAGGCCAAAGAUGAAAAAAUAGAAGAUUUUUAUCAGCUGCUGCAAUCUGAAUUGAUUGCCCAUUUUAUCAUUGGGUUAUUGGUCCUUUUGUUAAGUUGUUUAGGUUUUAUAUAUAUUUUGGUUAUUAAAUUGUCAUCAGAUAUAUGAUUUCUGAAGAUACUCUCAGUAGCUUGUCUUUUCAUUUUUUGGUAAAGUCUUUUGAUGAACAGAAGUUUUUAAUUUUUAUGAGGUCCCAUUUAUUUAUUUUGUCUUUUGCUCUUGGUGUUUUUAUUAUAUUAGAUAAUCCAUUGUUAAAAGCUAGGCCUGAAAAGGUUGGUGUUACCUUUUUGUAAGCAUGAUGUGAGGGCGACGUCUGAUCUCCUUUUAACUUCACAAGGGGAGAGGAGAAUCAAUAUCAACAGCCCAAGGCUGAUUGCUAUGAGGUGGUGGUCAGACACACCUCCUCUCGCUAGCCUUUUUUUUUUUUAACCAGUUCUGGCCACCAACCGUCCCUCCCACAGCACUCUAUUUCUCUACUGAGUUCGACAAUUCAUUGUAGUGGCUACACAGAACUCAGAGGCCAUACUCAGGAUCAUGGGGUUUAUUAGGGAAGUAACAGGUUACAGUUCAGGUUUAGGAAUGCUCGGGAUACAGUUCAUCCACCAGGACAGCUUCUUCCCAGCUGUGCCUACAGGCUCGCCUCUCUCUGGCCCUUGUCCUCUAUCCCGUUUGGGUAAGUGUUACAACGCUAUUUUAGCUCUGCUGGUAAGUGUCCAGAGGCACCCUAGUCUGCCAGUAAGCCUCGAUCCGAAGUUGCUCAGCUCUAGCUUCAUGGGUCAGCAAACCUAGCUUUACCACAUGCCCAGAGGCACCCUGCUCCACCAGUGAACCUCCUGCCCGAAGGCACUCAGCUUUCUCACUCUCUGCGUCAGGCCACCUCCUGCCAGUCUCCUGGUUCUGCUGCUGCUGUUUCUCUGCUGCCAUUUCUCACCAUCUUUGGUGUUAACAUCUCUCUCAGUCUCCUGGUUCCAGGAGCUUCUCAGCACGGGGAUCCUGAGUACAAAAGAUGCACUCCACUUUGGGCUCUUCUUGUUUGAUGGUGAUGAGAUCUUCCCUCCCACCUCUGAGAUGCUCAUUUUAAGCCUGGCAGGAUGACAAAAUUGACCUGUCCCUUUGUUAGGGUUCCCUAUACCUUAUUUGCAUAAUCACUUUGGUGGGAGUUAUAAGACCAUGAUGAGGAAGGCCAUAUAAAAGCGAUCCAUAGCACUGCAGUUUUCUUGUAAGAAUUUUAUGAUUUAAGUUUGCACAUUUAGGUCCUUAAACCAUUUUGAAUUUGUUUUUGUCCAUGGUGUGAGGCAUGGGCCCUGUUUCAUUUUUCUGCAAGUGGAAAUCCAGUUUUCCCAGCACAUUUAUUGAAGAGACUCUUCUUCCCCCAUCGAAUGGACUUAACAUGCUUGUCAAACAUCAGUUGACCAUAGAUGUGUGGGUUUAUUUCUGUACUGUCAAUUCUAUUCCAUUGGUCUGUGUGUCUAUUGUUAUACUAAUACCAGGCUGUUUUGAUUACUGUAGCUGUAUGGUAUGUUUUUAAAUCAGGAAAUGUGAGUCUUCCUACUUUAUUCUUCUCUUUCAACAUGGUUUUAGCUGUUCGGGGUCUCUUGCCAUUCCAUAUAAAGUUGAGGAUUGAUUUUUCUAUUUCUGUGAAGAUCGGUGUUGGAAUUUUGAUUGGGGUUGUGUUGAAUCUGUAGGUCGCUUUGGGUAGUAUUGACAUCUUAACAAUAUUAAGUUUUCCAAUCCAUGAACAUGGAACAUCUUUCCAUUUAUUUAAGUUUCAUCAAGUCUCUUUCAGCAGUGUUUUAUAAUUUUCAUUGUAUAAGUCCUUCAUGUCUGUGGUUGGAUUUAUUGCUAGGUAUUUUAUUCUCUUAGAUGUUAUUGUAAAUGGAAUUGUUUCCUUAAUUUCCCUUUCAGAUUUCUUAUUGCUGGUGUGUAGAAACCCAGCUGAAUUUUGUUGCUGACCUUGUACCCUGCAGCUUUCCCAGAUUCCUCUUUUAGCUCUAGAAGUUUUCUUGUGAACUCUUUGGGUUUUUCUAUGUAUAGAAUCAUAUCAUCUGCUGAAUAGAGAUAAUUUUACUUCUUUUCCAACCUGGAUACCUUUUGUUUCUUUUUCUUGUCCUUUUGCUCUGGCUAGGAUUUCUGAUACAAUAUCAAAUAGAAGUAGUGAGAACAGGCACCCUUGUCUUGUUCCUAAUUUCGAGGGGAAGGCUCUUAGUCUUUCUCUGUUAAGUAUGAUGUUGGCUGUUGGCUUUUCAUAUAUGCCCUGAAUCAUACGGAGGAAUUUCCCUUUAUUCCAUUAUUCUUUAGGGUUUUCAUUAAGAAACGGUGUUGGAUUUUGUCGGAUGCUUUUUAUGCAUCCAUAGAGAUGAUCAUGUGGUUCUUUUCCUUUGUUCUGUUGAUGUGGUGUAUUUUGUUAAUUGAUUUUCUAAUAUUUAACCAUCUCUGCAUUCCUGGAAUAAAUAGCACUUGGUCAUGGUGUAUGACUCUUAAUAUUCUGUAGGAUUCUGUUUGCUAGUAUUUUGUUGAGGAUUUUUGCAUCUAUAUUCGUACGAGAUAUUGGCCUGUAGUCUUCUUUUCUUGUAAUAUCUUUGUCUUGUUUUGGUAUCAGGGUUAUGUAUGCUCCAUAGAACGAAUUAGGGGGUACUCCUUCUUUAUCUUUUGCAAUAUUUUUUUUUUAUUAACUUUUAUUAAGCUUCAAGUGAACGUUUACAAAUCCAAUCAGUCUGUCACAUGUAAGUUUACAUACAUCUUACUCCGUACUCCCACUUGCUCUCCCCCUAUUGAGUCAGCCCUUUCAGUCUCUCCUUUCGUGACAAUUUUGCCAGCUUCCCUCUCUCUCUAUCCUCCCAUCCCCCCUCCAGACAAGAGAUGCCAACACAAUCUCAAGUGUCCACCUGAUUUAAUUAGCUCACUCUUCAUCAGCAUCUCUCUCCCACCCACUGACCAGUCCCUUUCAUGUCUGAUGAGUUGUCUUCGGGGAUGGUUCCUGUCCUGUGCCAACAGAAGGUCUGGGGACCAUGGCCGCCUGGAUUCCUCUAGUCUCAGUCAGACCAUUAAGUAUGGUCUUUUUAUGAGAAUCUGGGGUCUGCAUCCCACUGAUCUCCUGCUCCCUCAGGGGUUCUCAGUUGUGCUCCCUGUCAGGGCAGUCAUCGAUUGUGGCCGGGCACCAACUAGUUCUUCUGGUCUCAGGAUGAUGUAGGUCUCUGGUUCAUGUGGCCCUUUCUGUCUCUUGGGCUCUUAGCUGUCGUGUGACCUUGGUGUUCUUCAUUUUCCUUUGCUCCAGGUGGGUUGAGACCAAUUGAUGCAUCUUAGAUGGCCGCUUGUUAGCAUUUAAGACCCCAGACGCCACAUUUCAAAGUGGGAUGCAGAAUGUUUUCAUAAUAGAAUUAUUUUGCCAAUUGACUUAGAAGUCCCCUCAAACCAUGUUCCCCAGACCCCCGCCCUUGCUCCGCUGACCUUUGCAGCAUUCAUUUUAUCCAGGAAACUUCUUUGCUUUUGGUCUAGUCCAAUUGAGCUGACCUUCCAUGUAUUGAGUGUUGUCCUUCCCUUCACCUAAAGCAGUUCUUAUCUACUAACUAAUCAGUAAAAUACCCUCUCCCUGCCUCCCUCCCU